GACGAACGCUGGCGGCGUGCUUAACACAUGCAAGUCGAACGGAAAGGCCCUGCUUUUGUGGGGUGCUCGAGUGGCGAACGGGUGAGUAACACGUGAGUAACCUGCCCUUGACUUUGGGAUAACUUCAGGAAACUGGGGCUAAUACCGGAUAGGAGCUCCUGCUGCAUGGUGGGGGUUGGAAAGUUUCGGCGGUUGGGGAUGGACUCGCGGCUUAUCAGCUUGUUGGUGGGGUAGUGGCUUACCAAGGCUUUGACGGGUAGCCGGCCUGAGAGGGUGACCGGCCACAAUGGGACUGAGAUACGGCCCAGACUCCUACGGGAGGCAGCAGUGGGGAAUAUUGCACAAUGGGCGGAAGCCUGAUGCAGCAACGCCGCGUGCGGGAUGACGGCCUUCGGGUUGUAAACCGCUUUCGCCUGUGACGAAGCGUGAGUGACGGUAAUGGGUAAAGAAGCACCGGCUAACUACGUG
rnacentral:rRNA from 1 species